CAAAAUCAGUCCCAAGGUCUGCUAGGCAGGCCUUUGGAGGAGAUCUCCUGGGGAGGAGGGCCUCCUCCCCAGGAGAGCAGACCCCAGGCCCAAGACUUGCCUUGGGCCUGGGGUUCCAGGCCGUGUGGCCCAGCUGGCACGGUCCAAGCGGGCCGUACCGUGCCCGGCCGCGGGCCGUACCUCGGUUCGAUACAGCCCAGACCUGUGCCGGGCCGGACCGUCGGGCCCCAAGUAGGCGGCCCAGCACGGCCGAAAGAGCCGGCCCGGCCCGGCCCGAUUGCUACAGUGGCUUGCCGGGCCACAGCCCGGCCUGCAGCCUUGCCGGGGCGAGGGGGGGCCACGGGCCGCCUAGCCCGUUUUACACCCCUAAUUUCAACUUAACUUUCUCUCUCUCUAUAUAUAUAAAAUAUUAGUCUGAGAAAAAUAUUAUAGUGGUAAGUAACAUAUCUUAAGCAGCAAUCUUAUUUACACAGAAAAGUCAGUUUUGUAUUUAAGUUUUUCAAAGCGAGGCAUUUUCUGUACCUAGAUAAGCACAAGCAAUUAAGG
rnacentral:lncRNA from 1 species